rnacentral:rRNA from 1 species
UACGUAGGGUGCGAGCGUUAAUCGGAAUUACUGGGCGUAAAGUGUGCGCAGGUGGCCGCGCAAGUCGAGUGUGAAAUCCCCGAGCUUAACUUGGGAAUUGCGCUCGAAACUACGUGGCUCGAGUGUGGCAGAGGAAGGUGGAAUUCCACGUGUAGCGGUGAAAUGCGCAGAUAUCAGGAGGAACACCAAUGGCGAAGGCAGCACUCUGGGACGUGACUGACGCUGAGACGCGAAAGCGUGGGGAGCAAACAGG